AUUGAACGCUGGCGGCAUGCCUUACACAUGCAAGUCGAACGGCAGCACGGGAGCAAUCCUGGUGGCGAGUGGCGAACGGGCGAGUAAUAUAUCGGAACGUGCCCAGUCGUGGGGGGAUAACGUAGCGAAAGCUACGCUAAUACCGCAUACGAUCUAUGGAUGAAAGCGGGGGAUCGCAAGACCUCGCGCGAUUGGAGCGGCCGAUAUCAGAUUAGGUAGUUGGUGAGGUAAAGGCUCACCAAGCCGACGAUCUGUAGCUGGUCUGAGAGGACGACCAGCCACACUGGGACUGAGACACGGCCCAGACUCCUACGGGAGGCAGCAGUGGGGAAUUUUGGACAAUGGGCGCAAGCCUGAUCCAGCAAUGCCGCGUGCAGGAUGAAGGCCUUCGGGUUGUAAACUGCUUUGUACGGAACGAAACGGUGAGCUCUAAUACAGUUUGCUAAUGACGGUACCGUAAGAAUAAGCACCGGCUAACUACGUG
rnacentral:rRNA from 1 species